AACCAUCACCGAACGUGCACCACUGUACCGACGUCGGAUCGAAGUACCCACCUGUAAAAAUGUCGCGCAUGUCUCCUGACUCCAAAAGAACGUCAACCGGACCUAAAAAGGGUCCACCGGGUUAGUAUCUAACCCACAACUAAGAACCACAGUAAAACCAUAACCCCACAAACAAACCCACGAAGAUCGGUUUUCCAAAAACCAAAUACCGUAACUCGCCGGAAAUCCCAAAAACCACACCGGGACGCCGCCGGGACCCACUAACUGUCCCGAAACGCACCGACUCAUGCCACGAGUCACCCGCUGCCACAAAACACUCCAAUUUAGAUGUGACAUGGCAGCAAACACAAGCAAACACAACCAAACAACUAUCACCGGAUAAUUGUACGAAUCCGGGUUCCCGAAAAUGUCUAUUUCGACACCGAAACCCACCGUCGCCCACCCGUCAUUUCUGAACUCUCGAAAUGAAGCGAGUGACCAGCCAACAAGGCUCAGCGACUACACAAUAGCUCACGAAGCACCGUCGGAAUAAUUCUAAACCAAAACCGCGUUCCGUCGGCGGAUUUUGCCGACAAACGCACCGAAAAUACAUUUUCGAUCUUCGCAAAGGUCCGGGGCCUUGGACAAUCAGUCCAGAGAUCACCCACAGCCUGCCCAUGCUGCCAACAGCAGCCGUAGCAACCAGAAUUGCAUAAAAGCCCUUUCGAAUACCCGAAAUCGCAUUAUUUCAUGCGAUUUCGGCGCUUUUAUGGUCCGUCUACACAAACUAGGAGUCAAUCAGCGAAACCGAGACACCUACUGACAGAUCUCGGCGUGCCGGAGGCCGUGCUCACCUUUUGGAGCAAUUCCGGCCACUGUGGGGAACGCACGAGCGACGCGAAAUUCAGUAAACUGCGCGCACAACAUGAAAAUCAUGCUUAUCUCGCUAACCAGGGGCUCGCUGACCCUAAAUGAGGUGAGCACUGCUAUCAGCACUGAUAGACGAUCACCGUGCUCACCUCCGGAGGCAUCGGAACAGCCUCGGGUCGCCGGAACAGUGACUAGAACAGAAAAACAUGUGCAGAAAGGCUGAAAACCAGCUUACAGAGCUAGGCAGGGCUCGGGGUGGCCGGCGGCGGCCGGACAGCGGGCAGGCCGGCCAGGGGAAGGAAGCACCAGGUCAGAGAUGGAAGCAGCAGGUCGGGGAGGUCCGGGGAAGGUGCUGGCCGUCGGCGGGAGGUGGCCGGUGGCGCGGCAGCGCAGCUCAAAGCCGCCGAGUUCCUCUCGGGUUCGAGUUUCCCGGCGGCGCGGCGGCGGCCGGAGGGGGUCGGGGCUGCAAGGAUCCGGUGCCGGAGACCGAGGGGAAGGUGGUGUACCCCUCGGUGGGCUGUGGCGGUGCUUGGGAGCCGAGCGGGCCCGACCUCGGCCCGCCCGGGUCUGGGCGGCUACAAGAGCCUCGGGCGGCGGCCGGCGGUGGUCGAGGGUGGCCGGGGACGCGCGCCGGAGGUAGUCGGAGGGUGAGGAAAGACGGCGCGACCGAUCUGGAGUGGCGGCGGCGCGUGGCCCUCGAGCCCACCCGAGCUCGGUCUGGGCUGACCGAGGUGGCCGCAGGGAGCAGAGGCGGCGCCGGCGGCGCACGGGAGCGGCAGGGGCCGGCUGCGGUGGUCGCCGGACGGUCGGCGGAGACCUCCGCGGCCGUCGGGAAGCGACGGCAGGGCUAGGGGGCGGCGCGGCUCCAAGGUUGGCCCGGCUCGGACUGGGCUGACCCGGGCUGGCCGUAGCUUCCCCCAGGCGGCUCCGGCGGCGCGCGCGGGCGGCGACGGCCGGCGGGGAGGCUCGUCAGGGGACAGGGGCAACACCAGCGAUGGCCUGGAGGCAAGGCAGCCUCGGCCUGGCUCCAACCCGAGAGAGGGAGAGAGAGAGAGAGAGAGAGAGAGAAAGAAAAAGGUUCCGGCGGCGGCUGGCCGGCCGGGGCUCAGUCGGCGGCGGCCUGGGCGUGCGCAACAGGGCAGGGAAGAGGGAUGAAUGUGGCAGGGGGGCUAGGGUUAGGGUUUCUAGUAGCAAACCCUAAAACACCUUUGUAUACCUAGCUCCAAAAUGCGGAAAAGCCCCUCGAACUUCAGUAUUUGGUACUAAGUCCCAUACAGCGCGUGUAAAACGCGAGAAUACCCCUCCACGUGCGAUCCCUCGUAAAACGGUACAUAAAAUAUUGCGACUUUUGCGAAAAUACCGUUUUUGCCACUACCGACCUCUCCUCGAACAACGCGCGAUUUCCGCAGAUCCGUCCGUCAGAUUUGCGAACGGAUUGCACCAGUGCGAUCAGCACGACGGAGACAACAAAGCUACGAUUUUGGUUCACCUCGAUCGACCACGGAUUCGCGACGAAAUCCAACCUUCUUCCAAUAGGAGGAAUAACACACAAAUACAUAUAAAACAUGUAUUUUUGGAUUUUCUCGAAAUCCGUGCGUCGAACUCAAAAUCCGUCAGUGCCACUAGUUCCAGAACAGCUGAACCGGUCGAAACGAGCUAUUGGACUGAUAUGAACGGAGUCUGAUACGCACCAGAAGCCAACUCUACUCCGUGGCUUCUCCGGAAAACCGGAGUUACUAUUCACUUAAGUGAAAACUAAUAAUCGCGUAACUUCUCCGUUUUAGCUCAUUUUCUCCUGAAACUUGACGAGUGCUUAUGUAAUUAAAUUACACACAUAAACAUCGUCAACAGAGAGUUUAGUUGCACUGUCAAAAAAUCUCAGUCCUUACAUCAUCCCCCCCUUAAAAGAAGUUUCGUCCUCGAAACUUGACCACGUACCCACCGUAAUCGAACUCUGACAUUGCCCCACCGACACGGUAACACCUUUGGAUACUGGUCAAUCACAAAUCUAGAAUUGGACAGAUCAACCUUAGAAAAGGGGAGAAUAGGACUGCGGUUCCACAAGAACAAGACGAGGGGAACGUACCAAACCAAAGUCUGCGGACCAUAACACACCGGGAUCAACACCAUCCUGUAACCUUGGUCCGAAAAGCCUCAACCGACUCGACCACGUCACUAAGUUCACGAGAAAGAAUCACGAGCCAACACCACCAAACCGGAGUCAAAAAAAUUUCGACUAGCCAACAAUAUCAACUUGCUCACCACGAGCGAAGACGAAACGUUCUCCUAAAACUCGAGUCGGUAGAAACAGAAUCUGAGACUACAGUCUCCCACUAACCGAUCACGCAACUGCCGAAGUCAAGUCCACAUCCACGGAAAGCCGCCUUUGACAUUCGACAGUCUUAGGUCCCACAACCUCACCUUUCACCUGACCGAAAAGGUCGAAGGCUGACAAAACUAAUUGAGCUUGACAAACCGCUUGCUCAAUUAGAACUGGUUCGACUAAACCAAUAAACUCGCCAUGCAAGUCCAAAACUUGGUGCACAGGAUUGCAAAUCGCACUAUACGAUACAAACCAUCGGUGAUGCUCAACACCUGUCUCUACGAGACCCUGUCGCUGCCGUCCUACAAGGGACCCUAGCGAUCGGUGUUUCGAGCAACACCAGAUAACUGUCUCAUUGAGAUCCUGGCGCACCUGUCACCAAUUAACCGGACAAGCAUACAAUUCUAAAGUCGCACAGUAGGCUGAAAUACAAUCCUUACACCAUAUCACCUACUGUGACAAUCAAAGCCAACAACUAGGCUCAAGUCACUCAACCAACAAUUUUGAACCUCAAGACAACAGACCGAAACUACUAACCAACAAACCUUUUUGCGGUGAUGAUAAAUCAACUGCGCAAACCUGCCAAGAGAAUACAAGGCCCCACUAUGUGGUCAAAGAUGACCGAUACCCAAUCAUCCUUACAAGACUAUUUCUCUAGCUUUCACACAAAACAGUCUAGAGAACACAUCGACCCAAUCCAUAAGUCCCAAAUGGGAAGAUGGUAUUUCGUUCCUCUUUCGACAGUAUAUUGUCUGCAGCCAAUAUACUUAUCAAAAGAAAAGCGAAAUAUCCGAAGAUCCACUACCAACAACCAGUUGGAAGUACAACGCGAUAAAGUAUCAAGCCACUUGAUACCUCUCUACUGAACCAGAAGUUCACAACCAAUACUAUCGAAACAUCAACUUUACAAGUCGACAUUCAAAAUUAGAACGACCCUGGAACAUCUUAAAUCUAGACCAACUACAACCAACCCACAACACACCAAUUUGGGUGUUAGAAUAACCGCAUACGAUGUAUGCCUUAACGAAAACAUGACACCAAAACUGUGUCAAUCCGAUUCUAGUAGGAAGAAAGAACGAGUUCAAGGUCAAAAGAUCCGAACCGCUGAUUCGAAUCAACAAUCAAGGAGGAUAGGUAGGCAUCACAACCCUACCCAAAAAAUCUGCGGAAGCAACACUAACAAUGCAGUCGCCUAAACGACCGCUACCAAACCCUGGGCUACACCCUAGUAGCCCCACUGAAGUCGCGACCGUAACUGGUCUAAGCACCGUCUCCGUGGAGACACUCGCAACAGCUCUCGUGUCCUAAGUAAAGAGAGUGGCCUGGGCGUCGGCAGUCAUGACACUCGCCUAGGCCCAGAGAUCACUGGCCUUUCAAGGCCCCACCUGAUAGGAAUGGCUACACCUGGGGGACGUCGCCCCACCACUCGAUGUCCGAAAAAGUACCCCGCCACUACACCCGACUUAGACACCAGCUUGUGCGAACCGUAACACGUACAUAAACACCAUGCACUUCGAGUUUACCAAACUCGAAUGCAACCCAGGACGCAAGUCCAAACCCCGCACUCACGUGCCUAUAUACCGUGGUCUUCCUAUUGGUCAACCUAACCAAUGGUUCAGUUUCAUUUACUUUUCAAAACAACCUGUGAAUGGUGUUGUGGUUGUAACCCUUUGCUCUGAUACCAUUUUAAUCUGUCACGCCCCGGGGUCCCCUUUUUGUUUGAAAUACAGCGGAAAAGCGUUUGAAAAUUUUUUUUGAAAACCUGACCCCAGAGUAUGCCAGAUCCGCCACAAAUACAGGGAAUCCACUGUUCACACGGACAGAGUCUCCCCUGUACUUGCACGGCGUCACACAAGUACAGAAGUACAAACAGUAUACAACCACAAUCAAAUGAAUAUACAGAUAGCUAUACAUUCAUACAUUCUCCAUUCACAUCACAGUGUUACAUUCGAGGUUUAAAGAGAAAUCUACAAAAACCUUUUGAAAGCUGUUUCCUACACAGAAACCUUUAUUCUUUUAAAAACGCUACCACGAGGGGUAGAAAAUCUUUUAUUUUACAAAAUCCAGAAAUCCACCUUUUCAAAUGUAAAUGAUUACUGAACCACAUAAACCAACUAAACUAUAUAUCAACAGAAAUACCGAGGAUAAUAACUAAAUCGAAAUAACCUGGGUCGGAAGCUCUAUCGACCGCUACACACGUACCUCACGUCUCGUCCCACUACUCAUCGCCCGCGAUACCUGAAAAAUGGUGGGGGAGGUGAGAACAUGUAAACAUGUCUCCCCUCCCAGUGGGUACCGCAAGCCGAAGAAGGCGAGGAGUACUCACCGGAUCAGGAAGAGAUGACCAACAGUAUGGGUAAGUAAAAUGCUGUAGCAACGAUAAUGAACGAAUGAGAUAUAUAUAUAUAUGAAAACAUAACUACCGCUACUGUAUGUACAACUGCAAGCAUACAAGGAUAUCAAUACUAUAGUAGCAAGACAACUGUAAAGAAAGAACUAGAAGUACAUAUGCAACAACCGCUACUAUAGCUAUAUGCGUCAACCGGACGAGAAGUCCAAAAGUACCCAAUCUAAACCGCCGUGUCGGUCUAAGGACCUCAGGCAAAAGCCACUAUCUGCUCACACCUGGCAUGUAACCCUAGCACAAAGAGAACACCGCUGGGCUCACGGGUCGGAUGUACGACCACUUUUCCGGAAAAGAACACCCUCCUGCGGGGGAUCAACCCGCUGGUGUACGUGAAAUGCACUCGAGCUGUGGCGAUCAAUGCGGAUAUGAUCAAUAGCCAACCGUCGGCAAUCAGCCGACAAUCACUGCCCCUCUGGGCAUACCGACCGUGUAGGUCAUCAAGCUAUAAAGAAGCACAAGAACUGACCACUCAGGUCAACUAGGAUGGAACGACUCUACAUCCUCUCAAGUGUAUGCAAGUACUGACUAAUCAAGUCAACUGGGAUGGAACGACUCAACAUCCUACCAAAAGUGUGUCGAUACUGAUCAAUAAGUCAACUACUGUAUAUAUGCAAGGAUCAAUCAACAAGUCAUAUGAGUAUAUAAUCUAGAACUACCAUCGGCCAUAACCCGACAAUCCUACCCCUCAGGGUAUACCGACCUCAAAGGUCAUCAAGCAACAAGAAUCCAGAACGGACAGACUAGGUCACAAAAGGUCAAAUGACGGAUCUGUGAAGACUAUAGUCAUCCGUCGACAACUAGUCGACAAUCCCACCCCUCAGGGUAUACCGACCGUAUAGGUCAUCGAACAACAGGAAUCAAGGAACUGAUCAAGUAGGUCACCAUUACGGAAUACCAGAAUCGACCGACUAGGUCACUAACAUCACAGAUGGUCACGGAACCGCUCUACUAUAAACAUGAUAUAAGAUAUGUAGAACCAGCUAGUAGAGCAACAAGAGAACAUGAUAUCAAACACAGAUAGACUACACUCCUACACAUGAUACUAAGCAUGGAAACAUCUGAAUAUAGUAUAAUUAAACAACGUGGAAGCUAGGCUCAACAUAUAGUAUAAGCAUAGAGACAAUAGUAAGAGGGCAAGGGUAAGAAACCAUCACCGAACGUGCACCACUGUACCGACGUCGGAUCGAAGUACCCACCUGUACAACUGUCGCGCAUGUCUCCUGACUGCAAAGGAACGUCAUCCGGACCUAAGGAGGGUUCACUGGGUUAGUGUCUAACCCACAGCUAAGAAACCGUAAAAGCAUAACCCACAAACAAACCCACGGAGAUCGGUUUUCCCAAAACCAAAUACCGUAACUCGCCGGAAGUCCCAAAAAUCACACCGGGACUCCGCCGGGACCCACUAACUGUCCCGAAAGGCACCGACUCAUGUCACGAGUCAUUCGC
rnacentral:lncRNA from 1 species